CACUGGCACAGGUGUCACCUGUGAAUUCAACGGUCUCAGCUCCUAAUGCAUACAAUCUGGUGCUCCCUAAAACUACAUAUCCCGUAAUUAACUUGUGCGCAUGCGCAGUAGCGUUCUCCUUGCCUCAUUUAUUCCUACCGAUUCUACAGGCACUGCUGCUGUCAAGCAUCCUCUUAAAGAAAGUUUACGUUCUUGUUGUCUGGUUCAUCCAACAAACGACGACGAAACGGACGUUUUCCUACCACACCCAAUGUGCCGCUUCACUCUGCUACUGAAGGAUCAGGCUGACUGCAACUGCUAUGGAUGGCAGGAAAACACAGUACACGUGAAUUUCUAGAUGAAGAGUGAAUAAAUGCACUUGCUUAACUGAUAA